CAGCAGCCGCGGUAAUACGAAGGGGGCUAGCGUUGUUCGGAUUUACUGGGCGUAAAGCGCACGUAGGCGGAUCGAUCAGUCAGGGGUGAAAUCCCAGAGCUCAACUCUGGAACUGCCUUUGAUACUGUCGAUCUGGAGUAUGGAAGAGGUGAGUGGAAUUCCGAGUGUAGAGGUGAAAUUCGUAGAUAUUCGGAGGAACACCAGUGGCGAAGGCGGCUCACUGGUCCAUUACUGACGCUGAGGUGCGAAAGCGUGGGGAGCAAACAGGAUUAGAUACCCCGGUGUCCCUGUCUCUUAUACA
rnacentral:rRNA from 1 species